AUGUACCACCAUAACAAUGGCGAGGUUGCCAGCUUCCACUUCCUCCCGCCCCCAAACCCUUCCUCCUCCUUCACCACCCACCACCACAUGAACAUGGCCUUGCCACCUCAAGCCUACUUCCCGCCCACCUUCGAUCCUGCCGCUCUACUUGCCGGCGACGACGACGUGGCAGCAGCCUUUGAGUUUGACGCUAUCCUACUCGAAGAAGCGGCUCACCUCGCCGGCGGCAAUGGCUCGCCCAGCUCGGGCUCCGACGCCGGUGGCGGGAACUACCUCCAGGUGGGCGGUCCUGGCGCUGGAUUUGGCGCCGCAGAGGAGGAGAGGCGGCGGCGGCGAAUGGUCUCGAACCGGGAGUCGGCGCGGCGGUCGCGCAUGCGCAAGCAGCGGCAGCUGAGCGAGCUGUGGGCGCAGGUCACCCACCUCCGCGGAGCCAACCGCCGCCUCCUCGACGAGCUCAACCGCGCAUUGCGCGGGUGCGCCGACGCCCGCCGCGAGAGCGCCCAGCUCAGGGACGAGAAGGCCAAACUGAAUGAGAAGCUCGAGCAGCUGUUGCAGCAAUCGGCACCGGAGAAGAAGGCCGCCUCCUCCUCCCCUCCGGCCUCGAGCAAUCACAGUGGCCGCUCCUCGGAGCCAUGCAAGAGCAGCACAGCUGCUGCAGCUUCUAUCGAAUGA
rnacentral:rRNA from 1 species